GGGUCUAUGAUGACAAACCAAUGUCACAAAAGAGGUGAUGACAUAAAAAUCAUGCUCAAUAGGAUUACACUGAGGCCC
ensembl:snoRNA SNORD115 Small nucleolar RNA SNORD115